GAUGAACGCUGGCGGCGUGCCUAAUACAUGCCAGUCGAGCGAACGGACGAGAAGCUUGCUUCUCUGAUGUUAGCGGCGGACGGGUGAGUAACACGUGGAUAACCUACCUAUAAGACUGGGAUAACUUCGGGAAACCGGAGCUAAUACCGGAUAAUAUUUUGAACCGCAUGGUUCAAAAGUGAAAGACGGUCUUGCUGUCACUUAUAGAUGGAUCCGCGCUGCAUUAGCUAGUUGGUAAGGUAACGGCUUACCAAGGCAACGAUGCAUAGCCGACCUGAGAGGUUGAUCGGCCACACUGGAACUGAGACACGGUCCAGACUCCUACGGGAGGCAGCAGUAGGGAAUCUUCCGCAAUGGGCGAAAGCCUGACGGAGCAACGCCGCGUGAGUGAUGAAGGUCUUCGGAUCGUAAAACUCUGUUAUUAGGGAAGAACAUAUGUGUAAGUAACUGUGCACAUCUUGACGGUACCUAAUCAGAAAGCCACGGCUAACUACGUG
rnacentral:rRNA from 1 species